AUAUUUUCCUCUACAGUGGGAACUGGACUUAGAGAUAAGAUCCCAAACUGCUUGCUGAUUCGUUUAUGAUGGCAAAAUAGCAAGUAUAUUUGUGACCCUGGACCACAAAACCAGUUAUAAAUUUGUAGCAACAGCCAACAAUACAUUGUAUGGGUCAAAAUUGUCGAUAUUUUAGCCAAAAAUCAUUAGGAUAUGUAAAGAUCAUGUUCCAUGAAGAUAUUUUGUAAAUGUCCUACCGUAAAUAUAUUCAAACUUCAUUGUUGAAUAGUAAUGUGCAUUGCUAGAACUUCGUUUGAACAACUUUAAAUGCGAUUUUCUCAAUAUUUCUAUAUUUAUUUAUUUUUUUGGCACCCUCAGAUUCCAGAUUCCUUAUUUAUUCUUAUAUAUCAGAUGUAUGUGUAACAAAAUGUUGAUCAGGUUCUAAAUAAAAACCCAACCCAAGCAUUAUCUUAUGUCCAUCUUUCAUGUUUUUGUUUAUAUAAUUUUUCCUCGAAUUUAUUCCAUUUGGUUCGCCGAAGAGCAUAUUAACAUCAUAACGCAGUCGGUUUAUUACUGUGGGAUGUUUAGCCACUGGGCCACGCCCCCCCCACAUUCCAUUUGGUUCGCCGAAGAGCAUAUUAACAUCAUAACGCAGUCGGUUUAUUACUGUGGGAUGUUUACGCCACGUCGGGCCACGCCCCCCACCCCCCCCCCAACGCUUGGACAGCCCCCAAGCCGACUCUGCAGCCAAUCAGCGUCGCCCAGUCCUCCCAUUCCACAAUACUUGGUUCUAUGCAGACGUAUUGUUAUGCAAACUAGUUCGUCUAAAAUAUCCCCCUGGCAACGCAGCUCUGGGCAGAGAAUCACCGGGACCGCGCGACGGACAAACAACAGCGGCCAAGCGGCAGUUUUUGAGUCACUUCUUCCCGUCCAAACGUCAAGAUUACCCCUUGCCACAUAAAGCACCGCGGGACGCGAGAGACACAUUUCCUGAGGUAAACUAGCGUUACCUCAGACGUCUCUAAAAGCUAACGGCCCUCGAUGCGCUUAAUCGGAGAUACACGCUGGAAUAGUUGCAAGAGGUGUGUGAAGGCCAUCCUCUGUUUUGGCUAAACACUCUUUUAACACGAACCAUAAGUCGUUUCAUCAAUCAAAUCGUGUGGCAUUGGUGACCAGUGCUGAAAUAUGUCCUCGAAAUAACAAGUGACUCAUUCCUAAGUACUGUACACAUAGCUUUACUGUGUUUUUUCUCUGUACAAGUAGUCUAUUGCGCUCUGCCUUCACCUAGCAGACGGCUUCCACACAGCUUUCAGGCUGCCUUCACCUAGCAGACGGCUUCCACACAGCUUCAGGCCAGUGCAACCCAUGUCUAUGGUUAACAUGUUACUAAAACCGCUGCUUUCGCCUUUUUGUAUCAAAACAUCAGGAAAGUCGCCUUUGGGACACACUUUAUAAUCUUCUUUCAGUAUUUUGAAUUAACACCCUGGUCAUCACUGUGAAUACAGGCUGGGUUUGUCUUUUUAUUUAUGAAGGUACAUUGAGAUAAUGCAUUUAAAUUAUGUUGUGGUUAUUUUUAAGACUAUAGCCUAAGUGUAAAAGUAUGUAGGGUGACCUAAAGCUGCUUCGGACUCGUUACAGGCUAAACUGUCCCGUGUGGAGAUUCCGCGCCACGGCCCCCCACGUGCACACCUUUUUUUCCCGGGAAAAAUGCAUCCCCUUCUACUUUUUAUCCUGGUUCUCUGCAUCAGCUACCUCGACUUGAAAGUAUUCGAAUAUCAUGUGCUCUCUUUCUCAAGCCUUCUCCUUAACUGUGCUCAGUUACCCACUAGUGCUCGUUUUCUGGUCAACAGAAUCAGUAGGCUCUGUCCGGGUCGUUUUACUUGAUGUUUUCUUACUGUCAUCCUCGUUUUUUGUUUUACAAUCUUCACUCGGGACAAUUUAUCUCCUUGAACCAAAAUUAAGAUCCAUUGGUUAUUCAAAAAAAAACAUUUUUUUUUUCUUUCGCCAAGCGUGGUUGAGACAUUAUAUAUGUAGGUUUUAUUUCAGCCGAUUGCUUCAUUUUUGCAUUGUCAUUUUUGGUUUCUGUUGUAGUUACAAAAAGUGAAAUGCAUUGCAUGACUAUUAAAAUGCAGGGAGUUUUGUUGCACAUAAAUGUGGAGCCUUUUACGCCCCCUAGUGCCUGGUCGGGUAACUGCAGGAGCUGAGGCUUACCAAUAGUUACUACUGAGCAGGACUACAUGAACAUUGAGAAGAAGACUAUGACUUCUGUUGCAGGAAACAUCGACAGAUUUGUUCAAAAAAGACUGCCUGCCACCUUUAAGAGUCAUGGCACCUGAUGUUUGUUUCAAUGCUGCUUUUAUGUAAUUUUUUUUCUUGAUACAAUGGCCAACAGUGAGUGAAUGAGGACAAGUAUCAGUUAGAUAUAUAAUUUUUUUGUCGUUGUUUUUGCAAGAAGCCCCAUGCAGUUGUGUGAGCGUGUGUGAUUGCACUCGUGUCUUGCCACAGUCCAGUGGCGUUGCUGAUGUUUCCAGCCCCCCGUCGCUCAACCUGGUUAACCAACUGGGAACUCCUCGUACCUGGAGAUGCAACCGAUGUGAUUCUCACGAUCAUCUAUUCGAUUGGUAUAGGCAGAACAAAUAUGCAUCGCUUGUCUUAAACUUGAUAUUUUUACUCUUGUUGAAAAUAUUGCACUGAUGACUGUUGUUAAUUCGUUGGCUUCAGGUCAACAUUUUAUUUUUUCUAAAUAGAAAAAAGGAACACAACAUAAUACUAUUGUAUAAAAAAAAAAAGCUCCAGGUUAUAUUGUCUCUGUUUGUGCGUUACAUUGUAUAACAUUACGUUUGCAAAGAUGUUUGUAUCUCUGUGAUCGGGUGUAUGUGUAUACAUAUAUAGUAUAUAUAUAUGGAUAUAUAGACUCUGAUAUCUCAGAGCACUUUCUUAUUUGAAGUGCUCUCCUCCUGAUGUUAAUAAAGGGGAAUAAUACUUGUGAUGGUAAGAUCAUUGUAACAAAAAUAAAUUGCACGAUGUAUAGUUGUUUUACCCCACCAUUUGUCAUAACAUUUAUGACAUGGGGGUUAAAUGACUGGAUAGGUGUAUAUGAAUGAGUAAAAGUGCUGUUGUAUUUUUUUUUCUUUCUUUUUUUUUCUGUUGUUUUUGUGGACCAAGUUAUUUUUCAUCUUCUGUCUCCAGCGAGUGAUGCGAAUGUUCUUUUGUGUUGACUUCAGCUUUUCUUUUUCUUUUUUUGUGUUUGUGUGUGCGUUUUAUUUUGUUUGUAAUUUUUUGAACAUUUGUAACACUGUGAUUCAUGUGUGGUGAGAAUAUGAGUGCUGUAAUAUUUUUAUGUAUGUGUGUGUGUUCAAGCCAGUAAAGAAAUAAUUAAACCUUCAAUGUGUGGCUGUGAACGUUUCUUUCUAUCCCAGAGGAAGAAUUUGGGCCUCCUCUCUGGGCCAACCUGACCCCAGUUUCCAUUCUCUCCUUUUUGUCAUUCAUUUGGCCUAGUCCUUUCAUAUGCUGGAUAAAGGAGUGCAGGGGGUUGUGGGUAAUUUUGUUUUAAAGACAGAUCCCCUCCCUGUGUGUUUGUGUGGGUUUUAUGUUACAACUCUGUGCAUGGAGCAGCUCUCUGCCCUUCUGUUCUGAGGGAGACUCGAAGCAUUUCUUCAUUUAAAAAAACACAUCCGAGCACUUUAUUCCUCAUCUUCUCAUUCCAUUCCACCUCAGUUUCUAUUGGAUGCCAGCUCUGAAACAUUGGCAGAUAUACAUGAGAAAUCAAGUCACAUUUGCUGCAUUUCAUGCUUUCAUGAAACAAGAGUUCAUGAAACAAGAAACAAGAGUACCUCGGUGAAAAUUCGGUACUGCAUUUCAGUUCCUGCUCUGAUUUAUUGGUGGAAUGUCCAGAGUGUUCGUUCUUAAAUUUCACAAAUGAGCCAAAAACUUUGUCCGACAUUGUCCAGAGGCCACCUUUAUUGCAACCGUAAUCCGAACCAAGCAAGUGCUUGUUGUUUUCUGCAGGUAGACAAGAGUUUACGGCAUGCUUUUGAAGACAAACCUCACUAGAAGACUGUGACCUCAAUGGCAUCCUUCUCUGUUUCCACCCCCCUCCAUCCCCCGGGCAGGAUGUUAUUGUUGAGCUGGAUUUCCAUUGUCCGGCGGCUGAGUUGGCCACCUUCCCAGAGUGCAAUAGAGAGGCCCCCUAAUAGAUUCUUCAUGUGCCUCAGUCCCGACACACAUCAUUGCAGGAAUUUGGAAAUGAUUUUAACAGAGUCCCAUUGCUCUGCGCGCUAACCUUCCCCCACCGCCUGCUAGAGAGGGAGGGACGCGUAAAACCCAACAAUGUGAAAAAGAAUUUUGUGAAUGUACUUGAGAUCGAGAAGGAAACCCGCUCCUCUUCUAGCUCUGAGAAUGUGAAGUGGAGGCUUGGAGGUUUGUCCUCUUUUGUUUGUAGUUCGGUGCACUGGAAUGUUUGUUUUCCCAUACCUUCAGUAUACCAGAGAUCAAAAACGACCUCUUUGCACGGACAGAUUCUUGUCAGCAGUUUUGCAUACGUGCGCAUGUAGUUCCAAAAAGGCCCCACAACAUUGCUCGCCCUGGUGCAAGUAAACACAUGCAGAGAAAAAUGCGUUUGCAGCCAUGAAAAUUGUUGCAGAUUCUCAGAAGGAGAGGAACAUUAUAUAUAAGAAGGGAAUGAAGAUGAAUUAUUGUUGUAAUGGCUUAGUCAUGACCACAGCUCUUACCAGGAAAAGUUCCUUUCAAACACAGUAUAAUCCAAUAAAUGCACUCAUCUGCUGCUGGCAAAUGAACUGUAGUGUUCAAG
rnacentral:lncRNA from 1 species